ACCAGUUGGAAACGACUGUUAAUACCGCAUAAUGUCUACGGACCAAAGUGUGGGACCUUCGGGCCACAUGCUAUCGGAUGCGCCUACGUGGGAUUAGCUAGUUGGUGAGGUAAUGGCUCACCAAGGCGACGAUCUCUAGCUGGUUUGAGAGGAUGAUCAGCCACACUGGAACUGAGACACGGUCCAGACUCCUACGGGAGGCAGCAGUGGGGAAUAUUGGACAAUGGGCGCAAGCCUGAUCCAGCCAUGCCGCGUGUGUGAAGAAGGCCUUCGGGUUGUAAAGCACUUUCAGCGAGGAGGAAGAGUUGUGUGUUAAUAGUACACAGCUUUGACGUUACUCGCAGAAGAAGCACCGGCUAACUCUGUGCCAGCAGCCGCGGUAAUACAGAGGGUGCAAGCGUUAAUCGGAAUUACUGGGCGUAAAGCGCACGUAGGCGG
rnacentral:rRNA from 1 species